CAAAUGAGCGGUAAGUCCGCUGCAGGCUGUUCUAAGUGUUCCCUUCCGUAGGUUGGCUAGAGCUUAGACGCAACAAGCUUGUAGGGCACGCUCAUUUU
ncrna:unclassified sequences DTF3800-V RNA